rnacentral:rRNA from 1 species
AGUAACGCGUAGGCAACCUGCCCUUUAGUGGGGAAUAACCCCGGGAAACCGGAGCUAAUACCGCAUAAUAUCCUGGUACCGCAUGGCACCGGGAUCAAAGCCUUCGGGCGCUAUUGGAUGGGCCUGCGUCGGAUUAGGUAGUUGGUGAGGUAGAAGCUCACCAAGCCAACGAUCCGUAGCUGGUCUGAGAGGAUGAUCAGCCACACUGGCACUGAGACACGGGCCAG